UACAAAGAAGAUGGAAGAAAGGCUGCUGCC
rnacentral:piRNA from 1 species